rnacentral:rRNA from 1 species
CGGGCGCACGGCGGAUGCCUUGGCACAGGGAGCCGAUGAAGGACGCGGCAAGCUGCGAUAAUCCCCGGCGAGGAGCACACAUCCUUCGACCCGGGGGUCUCCGAAUGGGCGAACCCAUCCACAGCAGUGUGGAUAUCCCGACCCCGAACACAUAGGGGCCGGGAGGACAACCCGGGGAACUGAAACAUCUAAGUACCCGGAGGAGAGGAAAUCAAUCUCGAGACUCCCCGAGUAGCGGCGAGCGAAAGGGGACCGAUGGCCAAACCGUCGAGCGGGCAUACCCGGCAGGGGUUCCGCCGACGGGGUUGCAGGGCCGCGCAUCCGGGGGCUGCCGCCCCCGGGCGCAGGUCCGGCUGGGGAGCGGAACGGCAUGGGAGGGCCGGCCGCAGCGGGUGACAGCCCCGUACGCGAACCCAGACCGGACGGCGCGACGCGGUCCCUGAGUAGGGCCGGGCACGUGAAACCCGGUCCGAACCUGGGUGGACCACCAUCCAAGCCUGAGUACUACCCUGUGACCGAUAGCGCACCAGUACCGUGAGGGAAAGGUGAAAAGCACCCCGGGAGGGGAGUGAAACAGUACCUGAAACCGUGCGCCCACGAGCAGUCGGAGCACCCUUGUGGUGUGACGGCGUGCCUUUUGUAGAAUGAGCCAGCGAGUCGCUGGCGCGGGGCGAGGUUAACCGAAAGGGAGCCGGAGCGAAAGCGAGCCUUAACAGGGCGACUUGAGUCCCGCGCCGCGGACGCGAAGCCGGGUGAGCUAUCCGUGGGCAGGCUGAAGCGGGGGUAAGACCCCGUGGAGGGCCGAACGCACGUCGGUUGAAAACGGCGGCGAUGACCUGCGGAUAGGGGUGAAAGGCCAAUCAAACCCGGAGAUAUCUCGUUCUCCCCGAAAUAGCUUUAGGGCUAGCGUCGCGCGUUCACCGCCGGAGGUAGAGCACCGGAUGGACGAGGGGGCUUCGCCGCCUACCGAAUCCAACCGAACUCCGAAUGCCGGCGGCCCAGAGCGCGGCAGUCAGAGCAUGUGGGCUAAGCUGUGUGCUCGAGAGGGAAACAGCCCGGACCGCCCGCUAAGGUCCCCAAGUUCCAGCCGAGUGGCAAAGGAUGUGCGUCCGCCCAGACAACCAGGAUGUUGGCUUAGAAGCAGCCAUCCAUUCAAAGAGUGCGUAACAGCUCACUGGUCGAGUGGACAUGCGCCGACAAUACACGGGGCUAAGCUGGACACCGAAGCGGCGGGAUUUUAAUUCAUUAGAAUCGGUAGGGGAGCUUCCCAUGGGCGGAGAAGCCGGAGGGCGACCGGCGGUGGAGCGCAUGGGAGUGAGAAUGCUGGCAUGAGUAGCGAGAGACGAGAGAGUAACUCGUCCGCCGUGAACCCGAGGUUUCCUGGGCAAGGCUAAUCCUCCCAGGGUCAGUCGGGGGCUAAGGCGAGGCCGGUAGGCGUAGCCGACGCGCAGCAGGCAGACAUUCCUGCACCGCGCACGCGGCGCUACGACCGACGGGGCGACGGAUGGGGGUGGCUCGGCGGGGUUCUGGACGUCCCCGUGAUGGAGCGCGGCCCGCGGACCAGGGAAAUCCGGUCCGCACGAGGGCGAGGCUCCGGACGAAGCGAUCAAGCGAAGCGAGUGAGCCCGAGGUCCCUAGAAAAACCCCUAGGCAGGCGCGUGCGCGCCCGUACCGCAAACCGACACAGGUGGGUGGGUAGAACAUACCGAGGCGAUCGGGUCAACCAUGGUCAAGGAACUCGGCACAAUGGCCCCGUAACUUCGGGAGAAGGGGUGCCCGCGCGUACGUGAACCGGCUUGCCCGGGGAGCGGAGGCGGGCCGCAGUGGAGAGGCCCAAGCGACUGUUUACCAAAAACACAGGACUCUGCAGAAGCCGCAAGGCGACGUAUAGGGUCUGACGCCUGCCCGGUGCCGGAAGGUCACGCGGAGGAGUUAGCUUUCGAGCGAAGCCCCGAAGCCAAGCCCCGGUAAACGGCGGCCGUAACUAUAACGGUCCUAAGGUAGCGAAAUUCCUUGUCGGGUAAGUUCCGACCUGCACGAAAGGCGCAACGACUUGGGCGCUGUCUCGACCAUGGACCCGGUGAAAUUGCACUGGUCGUGAAGAUGCGACUUACCCGCGGAAGGACGGAAAGACCCCGUGAACCUUCACUGCAGCUUGGCAUUGGCCGCUGGUCCCGCGUGUAGAGGAUAGGCAGGAGGCACAGAUCCGGAGGCGCCAGCCCCCGGGGAGCCGCCCUUGGAAUACUGCCCUCGCGCGACCGGCGUCCUAACCCGAGGCCGUCAACCGGCUCGGGGACCGUGCCAGGCGGGCAGUUUGACUGGGGCGGUCGCCUCCUAAAGGGUAACGGAGGCGCGCGAAGGUCCGCUCGGGACGGUCGGCAACCGUCCUUUUGAAUGCAAGAGUACAAGCGGGCUUGACUGCGAGGCCCACAAGCCGAGCAGGUGCGAAAGCAGGCUCUAGUGAUCCGGCGGCCCCGAGUGGGUGGGCCGUCGCUCAACGGAUAAAAGGUACUCCGGGGAUAACAGGCUGAUCUUGCCCAAGAGUCCACAUCGACGGCAAGGUUUGGCACCUCGAUGUCGGCUCAUCGCAUCCUGGGGCUGGAGCAGGUCCCAAGGGUACGGCUGUUCGCCGUUUAAAGCGGUACGCGAGCUGGGUUCAGAACGUCGUGAGACAGUUCGGUCCCUAUCCUCCGUGGGCGCAGGAGAAUCGAUGGAGGCUGCCCCCAGUACGAGAGGACCGGGGUGGACGCACCUCCGGUGAACCGGUUGUCGACCAACGGCACGGCCGGGUAGCCGCGUGCGGCGCGGAUAACCGCUGAAGGCAUCUAAGCGGGAAGCCGUUCCAGGGAUUAGUUCUCCUUCCGGUAAGGGCCCAGGUAGACUACCUGGUCGAUAGACGGCAGGUGCAAGGCUGGCGACAGCCUCAGCCGAGCCGCACUAAUCGCCCGAGCUCUUCCGGA